rnacentral:rRNA from 1 species
AAYGACUCUCGACAACGGAUAUCUCGGCUCUCGCAUCGAUGAAGAACGUAGCGAAAUGCGAUACUUGGUGUGAAUUGCAGAAUCCCGUGAACCAUCGAGUCUUUGAACGCAAGUUGCGCCCGAAGCCAUUAGGUUGAGGGCACGUCUGCCUGGGUGUCACGC